rnacentral:rRNA from 1 species
AACCGCGGUUAUACGAGAGGCCCAAGUCGAUAGGAAUCGGCGUAAAGGGUGGUUAAGGGUAACUACAAAAUAAAGCCGAACGUUCUCAAUGCUGUUAUACGCCUCGAGAACCUGAAGCCCCCCCACGAAAGUGGCUUUACCCCGCCCCGAACCCACGAAAGCUAGGGGA